AGUGAACGCUGGCGGUAGGCCUAACACAUGCAAGUCGAACGGCAGCACAGUAAGAGCUUGCUCUUACGGGUGGCGAGUGGCGGACGGGUGAGGAAUACAUCGGAAUCUACUUUUUCGUGGGGGAUAACGUAGGGAAACUUACGCUAAUACCGCAUACGACCUACGGGUGAAAGCAGGGGAUCUUCGGACCUUGCGCGAUUGAAUGAGCCGAUGUCGGAUUAGCUAGUUGGCGGGGUAAAGGCCCACCAAGGCGACGAUCCGUAGCUGGUCUGAGAGGAUGAUCAGACACACUGGAACUGAGACACGGUACAGACACCUACGGGAGGCAGCAGUGGGGAAUAUUGGACAAUGGGCGCAAGCCUGAUCCAGCCAUACCGCGUGGGUGAAGAAGGACUUCGGGCUGUAAAGCCCUUUUGUUGGGAAAGAAAAGCAGCAGGUUAAUACCCCGCUGUUCUGACGGUACCCAAAGAAUAAGCACCGGCUAACUUCGUG
rnacentral:rRNA from 1 species